rnacentral:rRNA from 1 species
GACGAACGCUGGCGGCGUGCUUAACACAUGCAAGUCGAACGGGGUCAAUAGCAAUAUUGAUCUAGUGGCGGACGGGUGAGUAACGCGUGAGGAACCUGCCUUCAAGAGGGGGAUAACAUCGAGAAAUCGAUGCUAAUACCGCAUAAGACCACAUUCCCGCAUGGGAAAGGGGUCAAAGCUAUUGCGCUUGAAGAUGGACUCGCGUCCCAUUAGCUAGUAGGCGGGGUAACGGCCCACCGAGGCAACGAGGGGUAGCCGAGCUGAGAGGCUGACCGGCCACACUGGGACUGAGACACGGCCCAGACUCCUACGGGAGGCAGAAGUGGGGAAUAUUGGGCAAAGGGCGCAAGCCUGACCCAGCAACGCCGCGUGGAGGAAGAAGGUUUUCGGAUUGUAAACUUCUGUCCUCAAGGACGAAAAAAAUGACGGUACUUGGGGAGGAAGCCCCGGCUAACUACGUGCCAGCAGCCGCGGUAA